UCACUGGUGGCUCAGUGGUAAAGAAUCUGCCUGCAAUGCAGGGGACCCAGGUUCGAUCCCUGGGUUGGGAA
rnacentral:tRNA from 1 species